CCUAGAGUUGUAGGCCUUGCCUGCUAUCUCUUACCCAUGUCUUUUGAGUACCUUACGUUUCCUCGGUGGGUUCGCCCACCGAUCGGACAAACUUAAACCCUUUGCAGUUGAAAUCAGCGUCUGAAAAAACUUAAUAGUUA
rnacentral:misc_RNA from 1 species